GGGAAUGUAGCUCAGGGAAAGAGUAUUUGCCUAGCAUGCCAGAGGCUCUGGGUCUGAUGCCCAGCAACCCCC
rnacentral:tRNA from 1 species